AAAAAAUAAAAGUAAAUAGAUGUCAGAGUAAUUUUCUCCUCAAACUCCAAAUCUUUAGCUCUGCAUCUCCUUCCUUUUCCCACAUUUCUCCUCCUCUGAAAACCCUAAACCCUAACAACAAAAUCCAAAUCUGUAGUUGGUAGUUGUAUCUAUAGUCCGGGCCGCCUCUUCCAACCACCUCUCCUUCUCUGCUGCUGCGCUAUUCUUGAAUUACAGACCCUCAAUUACAGAGAGUGGAGCGGUCUAACCCAUGGAUACUUAGUCUUCAAUACACUGGAGAUUCUGCUGUUUAUUGUAUCGGUCUGCGUUUUUUGAUACUGGGUAUUGAGAGGAAGGGGGUUACAAAAUGAUGAACACAUUAUCAAUAUUGACACUUCCGGCUCCACCGGAGGAUGGGGAUCUUGGUCCAAUCCCAGCUGCUCAGUUGCCUCCCGACGAGGAGAUGAAAGAAGCAGAAGAUCAAAACAAAGCUAGCAAAGCAAGUUCAGUGGCAACACAUACAAGAACUAUUGGAAUUAUCUACCCCCCUCCGGAUAUUAGAACCAUUGUUGAUAAGACAUCGCAGUUUGUGGCAAAAAAUGGGCCCGAGUUUGAGAAGAGGAUUAUUGCCAAUAAUGCAGGAAAUGUGAAGUUUAAUUUUCUUAAUGCCUCUGAUCCUUACCAUGCUUAUUAUCAACACCGGUUAUCGGAGUUCAGGGCACAAGUUCAAUCCUCAUCUCUACAACCGUCUUCUCAGCCUGGUGAUUCGACAGCCUCGGAGGCUGAGCCUGCUGUCCUUGCUGAUGGUGUGCCUGCUGCAGAAGAGAUGCCUGACCCUUCUGCGCAAUUCCGAUCUGUCCGUAAGGUUCUUGAGCCUCCAGAGGCUGAACAAUAUACUGUAAGGCUGCCUGAGGGGAUUACAGGGGAGGAAUUGGAUAUUAUUAAGCUUACUGCACAAUUUGUUGCUCGCAAUGGGAAGUCAUUUUUGACAGGGCUUACUAGUCGAGAGAUGAACAACCCCCAAUUCCAUUUUAUGAAGCCUACACAUAGCAUGUUUAUGUUUUUCACUGCCCUUGCUGAUGCUUAUUCUAAGGUUCUGAUGCCUUCAAAGGGCUUGACAGAAAAGCUAAGUAAGAGUGUUUCCGACAGGACAACUGUCCUUGAGCGGUGUUUGCAUAGGCUUGAAUGGGAUAAAUCACAGGAGCAAGCUAGGCAGAAAGCUGAAGAUGAAAUAGAGCAUGAGAGAGUGCAGAUGGCUAGUAUAGAUUGGCACGAUUUUGUAGUGGUUGAAUCAAUUGACUUUGCAGAUGACGAAGAUGAGGCACUGCCUAUGCCAAUGACUCUUGAAGAAGUCGUAAGGAGAAGCAAGAUUUCAACUAAGGAUGGGGAUGAAGAGGAGAUUGUUGAGCCUGGAAAGGAGGUAGCGAUGGAAAUGGAUGAGGAAGAAAUGCAGCUUCUCCAAGAAGGUAUGACGGGUACUAGCCUUGAGGAAAAUGAAGAAGAAAAGAAGAAUGAGGCCAUGGCUGCUGUGGAUGGAGACGAUCCUCCGAUGAGAAUUGUGAAGAACUGGAAACGACCUGAAGAGAGAGUUCCUGCUGAAAGAGACCCUACAAAAUUUGUGGUUUCUCCGAUUACCGGUGAACUGAUAACCAUAAGUGAGAUGUCAGAACACAUGAGGAUUUCCCUGAUUGAUCCAAAAUACAAGGAGCAAAAGGAGAGGAUGUUUGCCAAGAUCCGAGAGACCACCCUUGCUCAUGAUGAUGAGAUUUCCAGAAAUAUUGUAGGACUGGCACGUACUCGUCCGGAUAUUUUUGGUACCACGGAGGAAGAAGUAUCUAAUGCCGUCAAAGCCGAGAUAGAAAAGAAAAAAGAUGAGCAGCCUAAGCAAGUCAUAUGGGAUGGUCAUACAGGGAGCAUUGGUCGCACUGCCAAUCAGGCCUUGUCUCAGAGUAUGGGUGGGGAGGAUCAAAAUGAGAUGAACUACAUUGAUGGAAGGCCUCUCCCAGGUCCAGCUGCUCCUCCUCCUCCGAGACCUGGUGUUCCUAUGCUUCGUCCCCUACCUCCACCAGUCGGUUUAUCUGUGAAUAUGCCGCGUGUACCAACCAGCAAUAUUCAGUAUUCAGCUCCAACCUCUGGCGGGCUUAUGGCACCACCUCCACCACGCCCUAUGCACCAAUUUAGUCAAAUGGUUCCUCCGCCUCCUCCCCCUAUGCAAAUGGCUCCUGGACAGCAGCAUAUGAUGAUGAAUCGUCCACCAAUGCCUCCGCCCAUGAACCAACCUGGUAUUCCAGUGCCGCCUGCUCCAGGAUCUCAAUUUACACCGCUUGGUGGUCACCGGCCCUUUACCCCUGUUCCACCACAUGGUAUGCCACCAAUGCCUAUGCCCCAAGGAAUGCCACCUCCGCCACCACCACCUGAGGAAGCUCCUCCUCCACUUCCUGAGGAACCAGAGCCCAAAAGACAGAAGUUGGAGGACUCUGUACUUAUUCCAGAAGAGCAGUUCCUUGCUCAACAUCCGGGACCUGUUAGGAUCAACAUAUCUGUUCCCAAUAUUGAUGAAGGAAACCUUAAAGGUCAAGUUUUGGAAAUUACCAUGUCCUUAAACGAAACUGUCGGUAGUUUGAAAGAAAAGGUAUCUGGAGAAAUCCAACUCCCAGCAAACAAACAGAAAUUGAGUGGAAAGGCUGGUUUUCUGAAGGACAAUCUCAAACUUGCUUAUUACAAUGUUGGAGAUGGAGAGACCUUUACUCUUUCUCUGAGGGAGCGUGGUGGCAGGAAAAGAUGAGCAAAUUCCUUAGGGGCUCCCAACAAAAGGCCCUUGUUGGAAUAAUCCCUAAAAAUUCUCCAUAUAAUCCUCUGAUCCCUUUCGCUCUCAAGUAGUCAUGUCAUGAUUCUGAAACUAACUUUCUUCAAGUCUAUUGACAUCAGUGACUUAAUUGUGUUUUUUCUGUUGGUUUUAGUCUGUUAUUGGUUAUCAGAUUAUUUUAUUCUGGUAGUGCUAAUAUUUUUGUAGAACCUUUUGGUGAUUGGUAGGGAAGAAUACUCUUUAUUCA